UACGUAGGGUCCGAGCGUUGUCCGGAAUUAUUGGGCGUAAAGGGCUCGUAGGCGGUCUGUCGCGUCGGGAGUGAAAACUUACAGCUUAACUGUGAGCGUGCUUCCGAUACGGGCAGACUUGAGGUAUUCAGGGGAGAGCGGAAUUCCUGGUGUAGCGGUGAAAUGCGUAGAUAUCAGGAGGAACACCUGUGGCGAAAGCGGCUCACUGGACCACAACUGACGCUGAGGCGCGCAAGCUAGGGGAGCAAACAGG
rnacentral:rRNA from 1 species